AGGAGAUUCUCUGGGAAGAUGUGACAAGAUGGACACGGGUAGCUGAGCACAGGUACACAGCCCCAAACAGGAAUUCUUCACCCAGUUCAGCAGGAAGCAAUUAUCAGAAGACCUUAAGUUGAGUGUGUGAUGGGCCCGUGAGUCUGCCCGUGAAUAGAGGAAAUAUUUACCACGCAAGCCUAGUGCCGCCUCCAUCUUUCCAUUCUCACACUGUAUGCGGCACGCCUCAUGGGUGCAAGCCAGGGAAGCAUGGGAGUACAGCGAGGUAUGAGCAAGCUCAAGAGAAGCAUGGCAGGUCUGCAAGGGAGCAAGCAGGGCCCCCCCCCCCGACAACCUCCAGGAACCCCGCUUUCUUCUAGUCACCAAGGACAGAAUGUAUUCUGGGAAACUCAGCCAAGGAACCUCACGUUCGUUUUAUUCACGUACCUUCCCCGUAAAGGCAGGCCACUCACAGUGAGAGUAACACAGACACUGGCUCCUCCCAGUCUUCCCCUACUCCUCAUUUAGGCACAGUCAGAAAGCACCCAGGGAGUAUGUCUCACUGAAACGUGAAAUACAUGCAGUUCUGUACAGUGUUUUCCCAGGUCUGCUAAAAAGCAAAAUGCAUGCACACGUGUGGGACACAAACCACAAACCAUGAUUUGAUUUGGGUAAUUCUGAAUUCUGAAUAGAAUUUAAACCG
rnacentral:lncRNA from 1 species